UGGCGGACGGGUGAGUAACGCGUGAGAAUCUGCCCAUAGGACGGGGACAACAGUGGGAAACUGCUGCUAAUACCGGAUGAGCCGAGAGGUAAAACAUUUAUGGCCUAUGGAGGAGCUCGCGACUGAUUAGCUAGUUGGUGGGGUAAGGGCCUACCAAGGCAGUGAUCAGUAGCUGGUCUGAGAGGAUGAUCAGCCACACUGGGACUGAGACACGGCCCAGACUCCUACGGGAGGCAGCAGUGGGGAAUUUUCCGCAAUGGGGGGAACCCUGACGGAGCAACGCCGCGUGAGGGAAGAAUGGUUGUGGCCAGUAAACCUCUUUUAAUAGGGAAGAAUAAUGACGGUACCUAUUGAAUAAGCAUCGGCUAACUCCGUGCCAGCAGCCGCGGUUAU
rnacentral:rRNA from 1 species